rnacentral:lncRNA from 1 species
AUACUGGGUGUUCUUCCCCACUGAGUCAUUGCUCCAGCAAUUUCUUUGCUCCUUUGUAUCAGUUAAAGAUGUACCUUGAAGACAUUUUUUUUUUUUUUUUGAGUAACAUAGGCAGGUAGAUGUUUCAGAGAAAACCCGAGCCUAUGGAAGUUCUGCAGCCCGAGACACCAGUCACCAAGCCACUCCAUCUGAGAAAAUCUGUACCCUAAGCUUCAACCCAGGCCACCUAUAGCUGAGAGAAGGGCGUCUUUCCAGCUGGGUGCAUGCAGGAUGCAGUAGAGGGCAGCAGACACACACUUUGGGAAGAUGCCAAGGUGGUCUCUCCUCUCAUGUCCACAGGAACUAGGAGCUACCAGGAGCAUGGUCACCGGAUGCUGCUCAUCUGGCUGCAUGGUGUGGCCGCAGCUGGGGAGAACCCCAGCAAAGCACUGUUCGAGGGCCUCGUGGCCAUUGGCAGGAGAGACUUGGCUGCUGGAUAGUGUAAUGUCAUCUCUCCGAAGCAUGGACAGAGUGACUACUGUAUGCGGUUGAAUCGGGACACUACCGUCCAAUGAAGGGCUUCACAGGAGCAGCUUAGCAGGUGUGAUAUAGAUCUCUGGUGUUCGGAGAACCCCACUAAGCUCCUGAUGAAUCAAUCCCAUGGUCACCUGCAGUCAGUUACUUACUUCAGUAUACAGCUGUAAACCUGUUGCUUUGAAGCAGCCAUCUUCCUGCCAAGAGUCUUGGUUUCUAUUUAAGGAGGGGGGGGGCGGUGUUCCUUAUGGAUCUGGAACUCACAGUGUGGACCAGGCUGGCCUCAUGGUCACAGACACCUUCCUGCUUCUGCUGUGCUAACGAUUAAAGGUAUGCACUACCAUGCCAGCUUAUUUAGAAUUUACUAUGUGUGUAUGACCAUGGGCAUGUACAUGUGUCAGCACACACAUGCAAGGCAGAGGACAAUGUGUAGACAUGGUUCUCUUCUUCCACUGUGGUUUCUGGGGGUUGAAGACAGGUUAUCAGGCUGGUGUGACAAGGGCUUUUACCUGCUGAACCAUCUUGCUGGCCCAAGAUUUUUGUUUUUUAUGGUUAUAGUUAAGAUAUUAAUUUUUUCUAGCUUUAUGUCAAUAAUUUCCCAUAAGUGUUAAUUUUUUCAAAAUGUUAAUUAUAGCUUUCUAUAUGUGUGUAUAUUGUAUAAAUUUUCUACUAUGUGAACUGAAUAAAACCCCUUACAUAUA